rnacentral:misc_RNA from 1 species
ACUGUCAUAAAAUAAGAGUUACGACGACAUAUUUUGUACAAAAAAUUGUUGUAUUUUUGCAACGUGGUCGUGACGUGGACAAUAGAAUUAUAUGUCAUGACGUGGCAGUGGUUAUAGAGCGUAGUAGGGACCAGUCAAGGAGUGCAAACCCCCCGGAAACCGAGACAAAGUCCGCCCCGGCAAGUCGCGUAGACCCGUAGAUCGCGCAUUGGGGGCGGUAAAUCGUUCCAGCACCGGGAGGCCGCAAACCUGAACGAUCCACGAAAGGCAGCAGUUCUGUGCGCCGGCGUCUCGAAAACACUAGUACAAGCACGCCUGGGGUACCCUCCAUGCACCUUAGUCCACGCCAAUUUGCCAAAUAGAUAUUGCGGUGUGCCAGUGCUCAAACCAGUUACGAGGAGCUUGGAUUUCUUGGGGUUCAGGACAAGACAGUUUGUUUUGCACCACCUUGAGAUUGUCUUUAGGUCGAAA